CAGCUUUGGAAUCGUCCUGUGGGAAGUCGCAACCCGUAAGAAACCCUUUGAAGGUUUUUCAGAUGAAGAAAUUUAUAGGAAGGUGUUAGAAGAGAAGUGCAAAGAGCCGCUUCCCGAUGACUGUCCUGCAGAACUGGGCCAGCUAAUAAACGAGUGCCGAGACUUCGAUAGCUUCCAGAGGCCUUCAGCUGGAGUACUGGUGGAUAGACUGCGCAGUGUGGUGGCACAGUUAGAGGACCAAUGAAACUCUUUAUCUGCCUUUCUGCUGGCCAGGCUCAUCCUCAGGGGAGGAAAUGCAGCUUUGAAUAAAACUGGACUUUAACUUGUGGGCCACUAAAUUGUAUUUAUAUUCUACCUUUAGGGUACCUGGGUCGUUGACACAGUGAUUUCAGUUUUGUACCUUUUUAUUAGUGUUCUCAUCUUAGUUUUUUUUUGUGAAGAUUUUGAUUUAUUCCCUCUAUUCUGUGUCCAGUCAGGCUGUUUCUGCCCUGAUCCCACGUCUCUGUUCCCUCUGUUG